rnacentral:rRNA from 1 species
AUUGAACGCUGGCGGCAUGCCUUACACAUGCAAGUCGAACGGCAGCACGGGAGCAAUCCUGGUGGCGAGUGGCGAACGGGUGAGUAAUACAUCGGAACGUGCCCAGUCGUGGGGGAUAACGUAGCGAAAGCUACGCUAAUACCGCAUACGAUCUGUGGAUGAAAGCGGGGGACCGUAAGGCCUCGCGCGAUUGGAGCGGCCGAUGUCAGAUUAGGUAGUUGGUGGGUAAAGGCCACCAAGCCGACGAUCUGUAGCUGGUCUGAGAGGACGACCAGCCACACUGGGACUGAGACACGGCCCAGACUCCUACGGAGGCAGCAGUGGGAAUUUUGGACAAUGGGCGCAAGCCUGAUCCAGCAAUGCCGACGUGCAGGAUGAA